GAACACAGAAUCUCAAAGAUCGGCUACUUCACUGACAAAACCAGCUUUCUCCGUGCACCCUUCCCUCUCUUUGCUUUUGUUCCUGGAGGUGGUGGCGUGGCUGAGCCUUUCCUGAGUCUAUGUGAAUGCGGUUUCACUGGGGGACAGUUGACUCCAUGCUUAGCUCCCUCUGGGUGACUUCCAGCCUUGGAAUUCGCUGGAGGCAAGGUGAGAGGCAGCCGCACCCGGAAUCCCAUCAGUGGCUCCUCUUUUGUGUACUUUGGCCUGACUCUGCUUGGCCUCCACUGGCCAGAUGUGUCCUGGAAGGUGGUGCUGGGCUCCUGGGGGCCUUACCCGCAAAUGACCCUAAAAAAGCCAUAAGAGUCAUUGCCUUCCAUGACAAUGACAUAGAGUCAUUGUGGUCCCGGUGGAGGAAGCAGCCUUCUUCCCCCUGCUACAGCCCGAUUACUCAGUACGAUGAUUCGUUACCAUACCAGGCAUCCUGAGGUUGGGCACCGUGGAGCGCCAUAUUGAAUGGAAGAAAGAUGGAAUGCCCUUGCAUCCAAAGAUGCCUGGUUCCAGUUCUUGAACAUCUGUGUUCAGGAGUGUGCACUCAGGAGCUGGACAGUCUGGGUUGGAAUUCACACCUUGCCAGUUGUCUUCAGACAGUGUGGAAUGGUGAGCUUGAGGAGAGUCCUGAAGGCAUUGGAUCUGAACACUGCUACCGUAAACUGCUAACCCUGGCCAGGACUCCAUGGACGAGGACCUGUUCCAGCAGGUGAUGGUCUGGACGUGAUCAGAGAAAGCCCCUCUGGCAACAAUUCUGAACCAAGAGCUCUGGAGAGUCGGCUUGGGGGCCUGCAUUUUCAGUACCUGGGUAUGCAGCAUAGUGAUGCAGUUACAUGCUCCUGCUCGGUUGCUCAGUUCUGUUGGAUUCUUUGCAACACUUGGGACUGUAGCCCACCAAGCUCCCCUGUCCAAGGGAUUUCCCAGGCAAGAAUACUGGAGUGGAUUGCCAUUUCCUACUCCAGGGGAUCUUCCCAACCCCAGGGAUCGAACCAGCAUCUCCUGCAUCGCAGGGCUUCGAUGUGAGCCUGCAAAGGAAGAGACGAGACUCUGAAAUUAAAUUUGGUCUUAAAGAGAAAUACACUGUAUUUCUUAUGCUCUCAAGCCUGCAGGCCAAGAGUUGCAGCCAUCGCCCCAGUGAACCAGUGAUGACUCUACUGUCAGAUGAUGCUGGCGAGAACUCUCAACUGUGUUCGGAUUUCAGGCAUAUCUUAGUGACAGCACUGCAAGGUCAUGGGGUGACUGCAUAGGAAUUCCAGACAUUUGCCUUCUUCCUUGGUUCUCCAGUAGCCUUCGUUUGGUCUUAAAAUAGGCACAUGCUUUAUCAUGUGCUGACCUACUAAUGUGAAGAAAUCCCCAAUGUCGGUGAUUUAAAAGGGAGCCCCAGGAAGAUCAUCGUGUUCCUGACCCCGGUGACAGCAAUUAAGUCUGCAGCCUUCCUCAUGUGCAUGUCUGUCCUUGGAUGUAAGUUUUAAAAGAACCAUGGAACCAGCGAGACCAAAACAGAGGGUCUUUGGUACAUGUUAUUCCCCAAACAAAGAGGAAUAUCUAAAUCAGAAAAUGUAUGAAUUCUAAUAUUUCAUAUUUUCACUAAUGAUCUAAUUGUGGAAUAAUAUUUAUUUACUUCCAAUGGGCGACUGAAUAAAGAUGAAGAGAAACAGUUAUACCUGUAUAUGGUGGGCAUCUUUCUGUGCGUGUCCUACAGGUAAUAAUCCAUAGUUCAAUGAUACAAAAAGUGACUUUGUAGAAGCAAGAGUACUUUUUCUUGUGUCUGGAGGCAGUGUUAGGUGCCCAUCUUCAUGUUUCUUUGGCACCCUCAACUCACCUCUUAUAAAGCAUUUCUCACCCUUUCCUAUGAUUUCUGUUAAUGAGUCUUCUUUCCACACUGGACUGUGACCUUUAAGAGGAUAACUGUAUGAUUUAUUAUUUUCUACAGAGGAGCCUGGUGGGCUGCA
ensembl:lncRNA